rnacentral:rRNA from 1 species
GACGAACGCUGGCGGCGUGCCUAAUACAUGCAAGUCGAACGCAGUGGGGACGGGUGGGUAACACGUGGGUAACCUCCCAUCAGAGGGGAUAACACUUGGAAACAGGUACUAAACCGAUACUGAUGGAUGGACCCGCGGUGCAUGAGCUAGUUGGUGAGGGAACGGCUCACAAAGGCCACGAUGCAUAGCCGACCGGAGAGGGUGAUCGGCCACACUGGAACUGAGACACGGCCCAGACUCCUACGGGAGGCAGCAGUGGGGAAUCUUCGACAAUGGGCGAAAGUCUGACCGAGCAACGCCGCGUGUGUGAAGAAGGUUUUCGGGUCGUAAAACUCUGUUAUUAGGGAAGCGGUAUCUACACAGAAAGCCACGGCUAACUCCGUGCCAGCAGCCGCGGUAAUUC